AAGAUUGGAUUGAUUUUUUCCCUAAUAGCGAAGAUACAUGUGUACAAUAUGUAUUACUGUUGUUCGAUGCAUCGUGUGGGUAACCCCGCCGGAGAGGAUCCGUAUCCAUGCGGGUCCAUUGAAAUUUUGAUACCCAAUUUCGAGGAGUUUGUGUCGGCCAUGGCGGCAGGGUGGAGCGCGCAGCAGCUUAUCGUGGAGAGGUCAGAGCAGAGUCACAGAUAAAGCAUGUUGAGUAAAAUCAUUUUACUGUGGUUCUAGGGUUUGUUAUCAAGAUUUCUGGAAAUUUAUCAAUUGGGAAGAAGAAUCAGAGUGUGUUGGUGGUGUGAAUUCACAGAAUUUUAGCUAAGUGAUCAGAAAACAGAAAAUUGCAAAUCAAGCAGUUGUUGGGUCUACAUUACUGGAAAUGGGAGAGUGUACAAAAAAAUUGAAUUCAAGUUUCUGACAGCGGAAGAUUGAGGAAUUUUGAAAUGAUUAGAUGAUGAUAAUGAUAUUGAAGAGCCUGAAAAGAUUAAUAUUCUGUUGCUGGGUCCAACAAGUUCAGUGAAGUAGGCUCCUCCACCAUGGAGUACCCAGAGUUGCUACAGAGAGCAAUAGUUUUUUGUGUUUGUGAAUGCAGUUUCAUUUCAAAAUAAAGCAUGGCUAAGGAAGAACCCCACAGCAGUUCACAAGUUCCUAGAAGCGCUCACUUUCUAAGUUGCAGAAGAGAAAGUUAAGGCCCCUUGCACAACAAGUAAAACAGAAGAAGAAACAGGUACUGCCAAAGAUAGAGAGGUGAGAAAAAGAAAGUGGAUGAACCACAAGUAGCAUAGACAACUUGUAUAUAAGCUUUUGCAUAUAUUUUACAAAACGUGUAUUUGAGGUUCAAUAGACAAUAAAACUAGGUUGCCAGAAAGUGGAAGAGCACCAAAGAAUCCAUUAUUUCUUGGUGGUUCCCACUUCCCAAAAAACUGAAACUGUUACAUUGAAAUACAUCUGAAAAGAACAAUUAUUGGA